rnacentral:sRNA from 1 species
UAAUAAGCGGUUCGGACCCGGGGGCGGUACCCGGCGGCUCCACCAAACAUCCUUCAUUUGGGGAUCAUGGGGCCGAAAUAGGAUCGACGAACGUCUAAAGGGGUUGCUUUGUUUCGGUGAGAUACCACCGUUAUCGGUUCAAACUGUACAAUUGCAAAUGACAAUCGUGCUCCAGUUGCGAUGGCCGCGUAAGCGGUUUCAGCGACUGAAAUCUAAGUCCUUAGGCUUUGCAGCUUAAGGCGGGGUUCGCAGGUACCUGGCAACAGAAACCUG